rnacentral:lncRNA from 1 species
AUGUGGUUAAUAGUUAAGGCCAUGAAUCUGGCUUCCACGUGUGGCAGGGAAGAGCUACUUUUUGAUAAAAUGCCAGUCAGAUGGUCGGUCCUGUAUGAUACAGCAUCUGCACCGGGUAGGUGCACGCUGAGCAUGCUGUGGCUGGGCAAGGACUGCACAGAUCCGGGGACAGUUUGCUAUUUCACAUGCUCUUACUGCACUCAGCACAGUAAAACACCUCCAAGAUGAAGGAGGGACAGGAGAUUCUUCACGCACUAUUUCCACCACGUCUGCCCAUCUCUACUCCUACCACUGACUAGUUGGUUUGGCUGCCUCAAGAUGACCUCUGAAGAGCUGUAACCUUUGAACCCAGGGUAAGAACUUGAUUCUCUACAAAAGACAUCUAAAAGAAGAGGAUGGAAAAGAAUAAGCAAUCGUAUCUUGUUCCUCCAAAAAUACAACAACCCCACUCCAGCAAAAUCCUGCUUUCCAACCUGACGGUGCUGGCCCAGCUCGCUUACAGAUCUGCAGUCACCACAUUCCUGCAGGUUAUCAUUUCCUCUAGAUUGCUCUGCUGCAAGUCAAGGUGAUUGAAGUGUGGGGGUGUAAAGCAAUCUGCAAUGGGUCAGUAAGCUGUUGCAAGUCAGUGUUAGCUGCUAAGAUUUGAUCCCAGACUCACUGACUGCCUGAAACAACGCGCUUGUCCAAGGGAACCAUGAAUCAAGUGCUAUAAACCAUGCUAAAUAAAAAAUCUAGCAUGCUUUUAUUCUUUGGUUAC